rnacentral:rRNA from 1 species
UGAGGAAUUUUCUGCAAUGGGCGAAAGCCUGACAGAGCAAUACCGCGUGAGGGAUGAAGGCCUAUGGGUUGUAAACCUCUUUUCUCAAGGAGGAAGAUCUGACGUUACUUGAGGAAUAAGCAUCGGCUAACCCUGUGCCAGCAGCCGCGGUAAUACAGGGGAUGCAAGUGUUAUCCGGAAUCAUUGGGCGUAAAGCGUCUGCAGGUUGAUAAUUAAGUCUUUUGUUAAAUUUCUAGGCUUAACCUGGAGUCGGCAAAAGAAACUAUUUAUCUUGAGUAUGGUAGAGGUAAAGGGAAUUUCAAGUGGAGCGGUGAAAUGCGUAGAUAUUUGAAAGAACACCAAUAGCGAAGGCACUUUACUGGGCCAGUACUGACACUCAGAGACGAAAGCUAGGGGAGCAAACAGG